CCGAAAGUCGCAGCAUACCUGCAAUUGUCCCUGUCAUCAACACUGUUCGACUAAAUGCGCAGGUGCAUAUAAGACAAAUGCAAAUAACUGGAUUAUUAGCAACGUAUGGCUUCUUAUUCCGAUAUGGACGAUAUUUUCAUAUUUUAUCUUCACGAUAAGAAUGAUUAAACGGUUUUUGCUACUCUGUUUUUUUCAUGUAAUUUUUUAUAAUUUUUAUAUAAAUUAAAAAUUUUUCAGAAUUUCUAUACAGUUUUAUAACUUUUGAUUUCUCAAAUUUUUUUAUACGAGUUAGAAUACUUUAUAGAAAUGUUAAGAAAAUCUAUAUUUUUAUAGAAUUCUUCAUAUACAUAUAAGCUCUGAAAUAUCUUAAGAAAUUUAAGAUUUAUCACAUUAUAAUUUAAUGAAAUUUUACAAAAA
rnacentral:lncRNA from 13 species